GUAGUGCACUGCAUUGUAUUGCAAUUCUGCUUUCUUCCCCUGCUAGUAAAGGCUGGAAAGGAAUGAGAUUAGGUUGCUACAGCUGGGCUGGAAGGAUUUUAAACAGCAUAGCUACAAGCAGAGGGCUGAGGUUGCACUGCCAUAUUUCUUACAGCCUCCGCAAGUAUCAGGUCAACUGCUGGUCUUUUUACUGCCAUGUUCUUCAACCCUGCUUGGGGCAGAUAGACAACAUGUGGGUAAAGCACUGGCAGAUGGGGAGGGGGAGUGGAGCUCACACCUAGCAGAGCAGCAGGGAUAGGAAGUUAAGGUUAUAAUGCCAAUCCAGGCUCAACCUUAGUGUGUGAAAGCAUAAAAGGGAUGUUGCUUUUUCUUAGCUUGGCCUGUAGAUGGCAGGAACGGCUGAGGGAAUUUCUGACUGUCAUGCUUCUUCUGAGAGGCCUUGAUCCUAAUCCCUUUGAAGUUGAUUGGAUAGACUCCCAUUGAGUUCAGUGUUGCUUUAGAUCAGCCCCUAAAUUGCUAAUUCCACAAAUGUGCAGCCAGAUCACCUAGGAGCAGGGGAGGAGGGGACUCCUCCAGGGCAGGGCUAGUUCUGUAGAGUCAUGGUAGAGCCAGAGUAAUGCCAACCAGGGGGUUAACCCUUUGAAGCGCUGAGUGCCCUCAAUUCCCAUGGGCAGGGCCGGCUCCAGGCACCAGGCAACCAAGCACAUGCUUGGGGCGGCACCUGUAACAAGAAUAAUCAAGCAGGAAGGGAAACAAGACGCUCCAACAGGUGAGGAAAAGCAGCAGGGAACAUCCUUCCCUAUAGACUCGUUGUCUCCUGAAGCUCAGUUGGAAAUGUUUUUUAAAAGCAGGACAGACACUAUAAAAAGGAGGGACAAACACCCCAAGACAUCCCCCAUCUCUCUUCCUGCCCAUUGCAUUCAUGGUACCAGAAGUGACAAAGAAAGCAGCCAUUGAACUGGGGAAGGGAUCCUGAGAAGUUCCUAAGAAGUUUGGUCAGUAAGACAGCUGAGAGCAUGAGAGACUCAACACUGAGAGGAAGGGAGAUGGGAGUGAGCUCUGCAAACUGGGUUUGUAUCUUGCUUGCAAACAUUCCCCGUUCUAGCACAUCUGGUAGCUUGGAUAUUGCCUGUGAAGGGAUCAUUCUUCCCUGAGGAUGCUAAAGCAGUAGAUCAAAUCAGACAGUUUAGGAAAGGACUUGAACAUUUGGCCUCUUUCUCUCUCUCUCUCCAGGGAGAGUUGGCUAUACACCCAGGAGGAGUUCAACUGCUGUAGCUCAAACCACUGGGGAGAAAUUAACAAGGCCGAGCUGCAAUUACCUGAGCUGGCAUCUGACCACCUCUAAGUAACAGCUGGUAGCUGUUCUCCAGUGGAUAUCCCUACAAUGUGUAUAAUGAUGAGCAGGACUAUUUAAUCCUUAACUUUGAUAAGCCGAGAUCUCCCUCUGGCAGAGAGAGCAUGGCCAACCCCAAGUGUUCAGCACAUCAUGAGGCAGGCUCCAAAAAUAAUCACAAGAUUUUCUUCUUAGAUCUCAUGAUUUUUAAGCUACUCUAUUAAAUGUUGGCUUCUUUUUCUUUGCCUUCUGCUUUCUGAGCCUUUGGGAUUCCUCUAAGGUUUUCUCCACACCCAUGAGGGCCAAAGACCUACUUUUAUUUGUAAAGAAAAGCUGAGACACUCCCCAAAAUCACAUGAGACCAGGAGCUUGGAGGAAAACCCCACACAGGGCCGGCGCAACCCAUUAGACAACCUAGGCGGUCGCCUAGGGCACUAUGAUUUGGGGGGCGGCGACCGCAGCGGUAUUUCGGCGGCGGGACCUUCCGCCGCCUCUGUUAAGGGGGGUUGGCAUUUUGGGGUGGGACCUUCCGCUGCCUAGGGCGGCAGAAAAGCUGGCGGCGCUCCUGACCCCACAUAUUGUGAGACUGAGGCUGAAGUCCUGGAAGUUGGUGGCAGUAGUGGGACUGCCUUGGCCUCCAUUAGCAGAGAGAAGCUGUGGGCUCUGGUGUUUAUUCUAAGCUCAGUAUUAACCGAUUCACUUCAGAAUGACCUUGUUGGUAUCAGUCACUGCUGGAUUCGCUGUCAGGCAGGGGGUGGUAAGGGAAUUAGUGCUUGGGUGAGCUGAAGGGCCUCUUUCAGGGUAACAGUACCUCCUUUCUGUUACCGCCUAGAAGCUAUUUUUAUGGAUCAAGCCCUGUUCCCAAUGGGAAGUGGAGUUAGCCCAGAGGAUUGGAUGGCAAACAAGUGCAUCUUCUCUGAGGCAGAACUUACCUGGGCCCAGUCCUGCUCAAACACGGCGCAGCUCAGGAAUGAGGGUGUGACAUUAUUGACAUAAUAUGUAACCGUAUAGAUCACUGUUGCGACCACAGUUAUAUAUUUGCAGAAAAUACUGUAUAAAGGUUGUCGUGUAAGGGGUCUAUGGAGAGGUUAUGAUUUCUGGGUAUGAUUAUGCUGUCUAUAUGUGUGUAUCAUUUUUGUAGUUGAAGUUAUGAAUAUUGGCUCUAUAUUGUCUGUAUUUGGAAUUUAAGCUAUGCUUCUGGGUGACACCCCAGACAAGU